rnacentral:rRNA from 1 species
AUUGAACGCUGGCGGCAGGCCUAACACAUGCAAGUCGAGCGGAGCGGCGGACGGGUGAGUAAUGCCUAGGAAUCUGCCUGGUAGUGGGGGAUAACGUCCGGAAACGGGCGCUAAUACCGCAUCCUAUCAGAUGAGCCUAGGUCGGCUUAGCUAGUUGGUGGGGUAAAGGCCUACCAAGGCGACGAUCAGUAACUGGUCUGAGAGGAUGAUCAGUCACACGGGAACGGAGACACGGUCCAGACUCCUACGGGAGGCAGCAGUGGGGAAUAUUGGACAAUGGGCGAAGGCCUGAUCCAGCCAUGCCGCGUGUAUGAAGAAGGCCUUAGGGUUGUAAAGUACUUUCAGCGGGGAGGCGUUACCCGCAGAAGAAGCACCGGCUAACUCCGUGCCAGCCGCCGCGGUAAUUC